AAAAGCUACUAGGGGUGCCCACGUACGGGCUGAGAUGAGGAAACUCAAACUCUUGAACCUGAACUGGUUGAUACCAGCGGAGGAAAGUAGAAUGUGUGACCA
rnacentral:ncRNA from 2 species